CGACCGUAUAGAAUUCCAAAACAGGGAAGAACCCUUCGCCCCGGGUAGUGUCGCGGUCGUCCACAGGUCACCAGAAAAUAAUUAUAUCACCGUCGUCGCAGAAGGCGACGAGAAUGCGACAAUCAAAAUAAGGAAAAGGGGAAACAACUAGAAAAGUACGA